GUAACUGUUUAUUACAAUGAAAAGUACGAAAACAAGCGAAUCGGUUACCACCCGAGAGUGGGACAUUUCAGCGGUACGCCGUGUUGGUCGUUCGAAUGUUUUAGUAAUAUCCUUUAGGAAAAUUGAGUGCGCAUCGCAUAGUGUGAUGGAGCAAAAUACAAACAGUUCAAUUUGAAAAUUUUGGAUUUAUUAUGUCUUAUGAUGCAUUUGAUGAAUUUAGCUGCCUCGAAGGUUGUGAUCAAUUUAACGCAGGAAUUGCUCGUUUGUGCGAAGUCCAGUUUUUCGGAACCACCUCUACCGGCGUUUGUAGCGAAGAAGACUUUUACAGAUCCGCCGCUGGAACCGUUUUUCGUAGAGAUCAUUUGUCAGUGUCGGAAUCAGAUUCUGACAACAUGUCAAAUAUUAAAAUUUCUCAGAUUGAUAAUACUGUUAUGACACUCGGUGGUCGAAUAGCCAACGGACCGGCGGAUGCCACGCAUCUUGUUAUGACACGAGUAACAUUGGUUAGUGUUCGAUACUGCUUAUCUAGGAUAUGGAUUACUAAAAGUGUCGGUGCAUGGUUUUUCUUAUGUGAAGGAUGUGGAUGAUACCUUUUAGUGUGAAGCUAUCCAUUCGGAAUGUAAUAUAAAUAAUUUAACUGAGUGAGAGAAAACAGCAUGUUCGGCCAAGAAGAUCCGGAAAACGAAGCUAGAUAAACCCGAAAUACAUCGUGAUUAUAAGUUGUACGGAAUGUCAAAUCUUUAUACAACCAUUUAUUGAAAAAAAUUGUAACAUGCAUACCUUGCUACUUCACUAAGCGUUUGUUUCGUAAUAUAUACAUUGAUGC